UCCAGGGUAGCCGACUGGACAAGGCACCUGUCCGGUAAGCAAAAGGGUGUGGGUUCGAUUCCCGCCCCUGGAC
rnacentral:tRNA from 1 species